UAAUUCACUGAAUUCAUAGAAUAAGUUAUAAAAAAGAAACUAAACUCAUUUCAAUAAAACAAAAACGAGAAUCAAAACACAAUUUUAUAGAGACAGAAAAUAAAAUCACUUAUAGAGAUUCAAUAGUAAAUAAAUCGAAAGCAGAAAACCUAAUCCCCUUUCGUCAUUUUACAAUAAAUGUUGCCUAUCUGGUUUUGGUGAUUUGUGUAAGCCGCAAAACUUAAUUUUCUUUUGGGAAUAUGAAGUCCUAAAAAUAAUUAAAAUGAGAUGUAAUAUGUUAACUCUUCAACAACGAUAAUACAUUUAAGAGAUCAACAUUUGUAUUCGUUAUUUUAAAAUCGAUAAAGAUUGUAGUGUUGCCAAAUGCUAAUACCAUUUAAUAAACAAAUAUUAAUAUAAAACCUCAUUUCCCGCAUGCACGCGGAUUGUCAUCUAGUUAUUAUUAUUUUGGUGUGCUAAAUAUCAUGUUUAGUACUAUUUGAAGAGUUAACUGGGAAAGAUAAAGACAAAAAGACAGCUAAUUAAGAAUAACAAGGAGUGUGAACAGGAUGUGGUGGUUUCUUCAUAGUAGUGAAAGUCUUGAAGAAAACGUGGGAGCAUGAUUAACGAAUGUAAAUGAUGGCCCUUAUAAAACCAGUAAGAGCCCUGUUCUUAACACUUGAGACGACCAGAGAGAUACAUAUAAGAAAGUAUCGAUGUUUGGUGUGUUUAGGGUUUAGUUUUGGUAUGUGUUCAGAGUCAGAUGACAGAUUGAUCAAGACUUAUGCAUCAUCAUCACUACCGUCUAACGAUGGCUAGGUCUUUUCCAAGCUUAAGGAAGCUAAUUGCAUGUGGAUUUGGAGCUUAGAUUGUAGGCGAUUUGGGUGACUGAUGAAGGAGUGAUAGGGCACAAAAAGGAUUUAUUUAUUUGGGCUAAGUUUGGCUUAUUAUCCAUUUGGAGGUGGAUGUUAUUUUGUUGGUUUACUAUGUUCCCGGACCUUGAUUUUCGUGUAACUUUCCUUUUUUUUUUAUUCAUUUUUUCCUGUCCGCCAACGUAUUUUUUUGUCACAUUUGUUGUUGUAAUUAGUAAUUUUUUGGUGUAAUGUUUUAGAUUAAUGGUUGACCAUAUUUCGUAUUUGUGUAAUGAAAUCUAUCCUAUAUCAGUAAGUUGCGUAAUAUUUGUGUGUUUCUUCUUUAAG